CCUACGGGGGGCAGCAGUGGGGAAUAUUGCGCAAUGGGCGAAAGCCUGACGCAGCGACGCCGCGUGUGGGAUGACGGCCUUCGGGUUGUAAACCACUGUCGGGAGGGACGAAGCUCUGACGGUACCUCCAAAGGAAGCACCGGCUAACUCUGUGCCAGCAGCCGCGGUAAUACAGAGGGUGCAAGCGUUGUCCGGCAUCACUGGGCGUAAAGGGCGCGUAGGCGGCCUGAUAAGUCGGGGGUGAAACGCUGCGGAUCAACCGAAGCACUGCCUUCGAGACUGGUGGGCGUGAGCACGGUAGAGGCUGGUGGAAUUCCCGGUGUAGCGGUGGAAUGCGUAGAGAUCGGGAAGAACAUCGGUGGCGAAGGCGGCCAGCUGGGCCGUUGCUGACGCUGAGGCGCGACAGCGUGGGGAGCAAACAGGAUUAGAUACCCGGGUAGUC
rnacentral:rRNA from 1 species